GUACCAAGUUGUUUGUUUCAUGCCUAGGUGAGGUCAUUAUGGCGGUACUUGAUGCUCUAAUGUUCAUCUGUGUUAUGGAGUUGGUUCUUUUGAAGUUAAAAGUAGUUGUAUGUUCGUACGAUGCUCUUCUUAGGUUUUAAGCCUAGGUGAAGGCAUAACAUGUGGUAAUGUAUGUUCUUUUCGAUCUGCCUGCGGCUGAUUUUUUUACCUCUUCUAGGUUGUUUUGCGUACUGUGGUUGCCCUUUAUUCCACAUGGUCUAUGAGUUGCGAGGAUUUAGGGUCUAGGAACUGACAGGCUCUUGUUUCUGUUGCUGAUUAGAGCUUUGGUUAAGGAUUGCAACCGGAGGAGCCGGAGAACACGACCCCUGUCCUAUGUGCGGCCAUAUCCCCCAUGGCUUCUACAAGGACCAUAUCCCCCACGGUUUUUUAGGGAACUCUUUUGAAAGGCAUGUGUGUACAGAACACAUGUUUCAUUGUCUUCUCUUUUUUUCAUGAGUUGUUGAACAGAUCUUAUGAAGCUUGAUUGAUAGUGUUUCAACUCAGAUGAAGUGUUCUGGAUGAUCACUUUUGCAGAUCCUGGAGAUCAUUAUACCUUCUGUACAAUGCACUGUUCGGGAGUGUUGCAUGCCUUUGUAUUGUGUUCCUGAACCUUGCUAA